GUCACUUUUGGAGUAACUUUUCCCCCACUAAAACAAAAGUCAAGAAUCACUUUUCUUUUACAUAAAAAAAUGUAAGAAUCUAUUAAUGUCUAAAACAUUACUCUUUUUUCUAGUUCUAGUAGAAGAAACGAUGAAGAUCUUUGGCAAAACCGUGCUUCCAGGCCAAAUCAUACUUUUUGCCUCUGGGCUUCUGUUUUUGGCAUCAACAACUUAUGAUGUGCAUAGAUCAAUCAAGAAUAACCAAACACCACCUUCUGAGGAACAACUCAAAGCUCUUGAAGAUUAUAUAAAAUCGGUUCGUCGCUCACCUUAAUUGUGGCAUAUGUUCCACCACGUCAUUCAUCCUAUCUCCACUAGUGUUCAUAGAUCAUAAACAAAAUGGUUUUUAUAAAUUUAAUUUUUGAAAUCUUAUUAAUACUAGACAACGGAUGCACGAGUCUAAAUGUGUGAUGCACGAGUCUAUUGUAUGUUAUUAUUAUUUUUAUUUUGUCGAUGGAGACUUACUUCUGGAGUCAACGGAUCCCUCCUCUGUUAGUAAUUGUUAUUUGAGUUAUGUUAUCAGGUGUCUCAAAAAUGGAAAAAAGCUUUACGAGAAUAUUUUUUAUAUUUUUAAAUGUUGAUUAUACAAA